GUCUACCUACGGGGGGCAGCAGUAGGGAAUCUUCCACAAUGGGGGAAACCCUGAUGGUGCGACGCCGCGUGGGGGAAUGAAGGUCUUCGGAUUGUAAACCCCUGUCAUGUGGGAGCAAAUUAAAAAGAUAGUACCACAAGAGGAAGAGACGGCUAACUCUGUGCCAGCAGCCGCGGUAAUACAGAGGUCUCAAGCGUUGUUCGGAAUCACUGGGCGUAAAGCGUGCGUAGGCUGUUUCGUAAGUCGUGUAUGAAAGGCGCGGGCUCAACCCGCGGACGGCACAUGAUACUG
rnacentral:rRNA from 1 species